rnacentral:rRNA from 1 species
GGGGACGGAGAAGGCUAUGUUGGCCGGGCGACGGUUGUCCCGGUUUAAGCGUGUAGGUGUGUGUUCCAGGUAAAUCCGGUUCACUUUAACACUGAGGCGUGACGACGAGGCACUACGGUGCUGAAGCAACAAAUGCCCUGCUUCCAGGAAAAGCCUCUAAGCAUCAGGUAACAUCAAAUCGUACCCCAAACCGACACAGGUGGUCAGGUAGAGAAUACCAAGGCGCUUGAGAGAACUCGGGUGAAGGAACUAGGCAAAAUGGUGCCGUAACUUCGGGAGAAGGCACGCUGACAUGUAGGUGAAGUGAUUUACUCAUGGAGCUGAAGUCAGUCGAAGAUACCAGCUGGCUGCAACUGUUUAUUAAAAACACAGCACUGUGCAAACACGAAAGUGGACGUAUACGGUGUGACGCCUGCCCGGUGCCGGAAGGUUAAUUGAUGGGGUCAGCGCAAGCGAAGCUCCUGAUCGAAGCCCCGGUAAACGGCGGCCGUAACUAUAACGGUCCUAAGGUAGCGAAAUUCCUUGUCGGGUAAGUUCCGACCUGCACGAAUGGCGUAAUGAUGGCCAGGCUGUCUCCACCCGAGACUCAGUGAAAUUGAACUCGCUGUGAAGAUGCAGUGUACCCGCGGCAAGACGGAAAGACCCCGUGAACCUUUACUAUAGCUUGACACUGAACAUUGAGCCUUGAUGUGUAGGAUAGGUGGGAGGCUUUGAAGUGUGGACGCCAGUCUGCAUGGAGCCGACCUUGAAAUACCACCCUUUAAUGUUUGAUGUUCUAACGUGGACCCGUUAUCCGGGUUGCGGACAGUGUCUGGUGGGUAGUUUGACUGGGGCGGUCUCCUCCUAAAGAGUAACGGAGGAGCACGAAGGUUGGCUAAUCCUGGUCGGACAUCAGGAGGUUAGUGCAAUGGCAUAAGCCAGCUUGACUGCGAGCGUGACGGCGCGAGCAGGUGCGAAAGCAGGUCAUAGUGAUCCGGUGGUUCUGAAUGGAAGGGCCAUCGCUCAACGGAUAAAAGGUACUCCGGGGAUAACAGGCUGAUACCGCCCAAGAGUUCAUAUCGACGGCGGUGUUUGGCACCUCGAUGUCGGCUCAUCACAUCCUGGGGCUGAAGUAGGUCCCAAGGGUAUGGCUGUUCGCCAUUUAAAGUGGUACGCGAGCUGGGUUUAGAACGUCGUGAGACAGUUCGGUCCCUAUCUGCCGUGGGCGCUGGAGAA